UGUAAUGUUUUUCCAUUAGAAAGCACUACGCUAAGAUUGGCGCUGAGGCGAGACGUGACUACGAGGACAUUUGCAAACAAAUAAAAAAAAGCACAAAGGGGAAUAUAAAACUGUGGAAACACCGAAGAAAGAGGUCACUGAAGAACUGAGGGAAUUCUGGAAGUGUGAUGAUGUUUCAUGCGAAAAAAAGAAAGAAGAAUCUGACUCUGCUUCUCGAGUUUAAAGAGGUGGAGACAGAUAAACAGUGCAUUCAGGAAUUGGAGGUCAGGCAAAAAUUCAUUUGUUUCUGUCUAAUUUGGACAAUCAUUUUUCUUCGUAAUGGAUGGCUUGAGGCAAGCAGGGAAGGAGCCAAAAGCAAGGUUUAAUA